GACCCCGUAGUCUAAAGGUUAGGAUGUCGGCCUUUCAAGCCGAAGAUGCUCGGUUCAAGUCCGGCCGGGGUCGCCA
rnacentral:tRNA from 2 species